rnacentral:rRNA from 1 species
CCUACGGGAGGCAGCAGUGAGGAAUAUUGGUCAAUGGGCGAGAGCCUGAACCAGCCAAGUCGCGUGAGGGAGUACUGCCCUAUGGGUUGUAAACCUCUUUUGUCGGGGAGCAAAAGCCGGACGUGUCCGGCUGUGAGAGUACCCGAAGAAAAGCAUCUGCUAACUCCGUGCCAGCAGCCGCGGUAAUACGGAGGAUGCGAGCGUUAUCCGGGUUUAUUGGGUUUAAGGGGUGCGCAGGCGGAUUUUUAAGUCAGCGGUAAAAUCGUGGGGCUCAACCCCAUCAAGCCGUUGAAACUGGGGAUCUAGAGUGUGCGAGAGGUAUGCGGAAUGCGUGGUGUAGCGGUGAAAUGCAUAGAUAUCACGCAGAACCCCGAUUGCGAAGGCAGCAUACCGGUGCACAACUGACGCUCAGGCACGAAAGCGUGGGUAUCGAACAGGAUUAGAUACCCGAGUAGUC